rnacentral:rRNA from 1 species
AUGCUGGGGCGGAAGAAGCACAAUCACACUCAAAAGAAAACGAAAGAGAAAAAACAAGAGAAAGAAAAUGCCGACAACGGCGGAUCGAUGGAAACGAAUAAGCUUAACGACCACUGCGCCCACCGAAGAUCUCCCACCAAGUUCCAAGGCUCCGAAGCACCGGUACCAAUCAACACCUCCAAGAAGGACCGCGACAAUGACGACGCUGCUGCCAAGGGUUUCCCCCCGGUACGCGACGAGGCGAGAGGAAGGGUCGCCCCCGUCGCCCUCCAGGGAAGGUCCGGCGGCACCCACCGGCGUCGCCGCGUCAGUGUCGGACAGGCCGACAGGGGUUUCCCCCGAUCCCAACCUUCACCUCGGAUGCUCCAGAGCCUGCCACCAAACCGACCAACAUCUUGCGCCACCGCGGUCAUGAAGCCUCCACGCCGUCUCACCACGGCACCGCGAAGUGAGGCCUGCACAAUGGGAAAUAGGAGCCGGGCUAGGGGCCGCAGCACCGUCGGCACGCGGGAGGGCACAACCUCCACCGUCAACGACGGUAGCCGACCGGACACAGUAGCAGGAGCAUACCAGGCCCGUGGGCCCACAGGCCUGGCCGGGACCUCCACGCCCACAAAGCUCCCGCCAUCGCGCUGCAGCAAGCACGCCGUCGGCGUCGCCGCCCCCAUCCAAGCUCCCCCUCCUCCACACCAUACAGACGACGAUGAAGCCACGCCGGGGGGCGGCCCGCUAGGACCCUAA